rnacentral:hammerhead_ribozyme from 1 species
AUCCAAUUGAAGAGUCCCAAAUAGGACGGAACACGCGUGCCGGGU